rnacentral:rRNA from 1 species
GAUGAACGCUGACAGAAUGCUUAACACAUGCAAGUCAACUGUGGCGGACGGGUGAGUAACGCGUAAAGAACUUGCCUCACAGUUAGGGACAACAUUUGGAAACGAAUGCUAAUACCUGAUACUGUGAGAGAGCUUUGCGUCCCAUUAGCUAGUUGGAGAGGUAACGGCUCACCAAGGCGAGGAUGGGUAGCCGGCCUGGGAGGGUGAUCGGCCACAAGGGGACUGAGACACGGCCAUUACGCCUACGGGAGGCAGCAGUGGGGAAUAUUGGACAAUGGGCCAAAGUCUGAUGCAGCAAUUCUGGGUGCAAGAUGAAGUUUUCGGAAUGUAAAGUGCUGUUAGUUGGGAAGCGGUACCAACAGAAGAAGCGACGGCUAACUACGUGCCAGCAGCCGCGGUAAUAC